ACAGCAGCAGCCGCGGGAACACGUAGGGUGCAAGCGUUAAUCGGAAUUACUGGGCGUAAAGCGUGCGCAGGCGGUUAUAUAAGACAGAUGUGAAAUCCCCGGGCUCAACCUGGGAACUGCAUUUGUGACUGUAUAGCUAGAGUACGGCAGAGGGGGAUGGAAUUCCGCGUGUAGCAGUGAAAUGCGUAGAUAUGCGGAGGAACACCGAUGGCGAAGGCAAUCCCCUGGGCCUGUACUGACGCUCAGGUGCGAAAGCGUGGGGAGCAAACAGGAUUAGAUACCCCUGUAGUCCCUGUCUCUUAUAC
rnacentral:rRNA from 1 species